rnacentral:lncRNA from 1 species
CCCGACUCGUUUUUCCACGCUGAUUUCCCCAGUGGCCAAAUCGGAGCCAAAAUCCCGACCAAACGGCCGGAAAACACGGCCGAAAGCCAGCGGCGCCGCCGCGCCCCUUCUCGGUUUUUACCUCCGAUGAGGCCCUUCCCGGCCUCCGUUUAAUGCAAUUUUUAUAUCACCGUGAUCACCAUUCUUUUCUCUACAGGUUGAUCGGAGCCGAAUCACCAAAACACGAACUUCACCGGAGAGCCGCCGCACCCGAGAGCACCGCCGCCGGUAAGCUUCGGUUUUCCCUAAAUUUUCGGC